AAUAGAUACCCGGGUAGUCCACGCCCUAAACGAUGUCAACUGGUUGUCGGGGAAGCAAUUCCUUGGUAACGAAGCUAACGCGUGAAGUUGACCGCCUGGGGAGUACGGCCGCAAGGUUAAAACUCAAAGGAAUUGACGGGGACCCGCACAAGCGGUGGAUUAUGUGGAUUAAUUCGAUGCAACGCGAAAAACCUUACCUACCCUUGACAUGUACGGAACCUCGCAGAGAUGUGAGGGUGCCCGAAAGGGAGCCGUAACACAGGUGCUGCAUGGCUGUCGUCAGCUCGUGUCGUGAGAUGUUGGGUUAAGUCCCGCAACGAGCGCAACCCUUGUCAUUAGUUGCUACAUUCAGUUGGGCACUCUAAUGAGACUGCCGGUGACAAACCGGAGGAAGGUGGGGAUGACGUCAAGUCCUCAUGGCCCUUAUGGGUAGGGCUUCACACGUAAUACAAUGGCCGGUACAGAGGGCUGCCAACCCGGCGAGGGGGAGCUAAUCCCAGAAAGCCGGUCGUAGUCCGGAUUGUUCUCUGCAACUCGAGAGCAUG
rnacentral:rRNA from 1 species